UGCCAGCAUGUCCUUAGUCACUAGAUUUUGAUAUUCUGCCAUAAGUGGCUGCAAAGCUCGAGUAUCCCCAAAUGGCUCUCCUCCUGCAAUGUAUAUUCGUGCAUUGCUUGGGGCCCCUAAAGCCUUUAAAAGCCUUGAUAUUUCUAAUGCGUUGAGGGGACAAAGACCAGCAAGUUUUCGCUCAGUGUGGCUCGUGUUUAACCUUCCAGUCAGAUAUUCAGGUUGAGACUCCCGAACUUCAGCAAUAAUUUUGUCAUAUUCUGGGCCUAAACCAGUAAGACAUCCACUUCUGACCCAG
rnacentral:misc_RNA from 1 species